GGUUUUUUGGCACAAGUGCCUACUGCCAAGUUGCUUCAUCAUCGUACCCAUAUUCCAGAAAAAUCAAUGCUGCUCAGCCGAAUGUUGCAUAGAUCACUUAUGAGACAGCUGGCUAGUAACUCAUUUAAAGUGGCAUUGAAUAAAUUUGGCUUUUACUGGAUUCAGUGAACACGCCACUCUGCUACUAAGAGCGGAGUCCUUGGUGUUAAUCACUGAUAAUCACCGUGUCACACAGGACGUCAGCACUGCAACAGUGAAGCACCGUGCCUUGUGUGCAUAGGCAUAGAUUUUGGGGGAGAAUGCAGGGGAUCUGUGUUUCCCCCCUCUAGUUGCAAGACAU